rnacentral:misc_RNA from 1 species
GAUGAAGAACGCAGCGAAAUGCGAUACUUGGUGUGAAUUGCAGAAUCCCGUGAACCAUCGAGUCUUUGAACGCAAGUUGCGCCUCAAGACAUUAGGUUGAGGGCACGUCUGCCUGGGCGUCACAUAUCGUUGCCUGAUGCCAGUUUCCUCGUGAUGGGUGACUGUGCAGGGCGAAUGAUGGCUUCCCGUGAGCAUUGUUGCCUCAUGGUUGGUUGAAAAUUGAGUCCUUGGUAGGGAGCGCCGUGAUAGAUGGUGGUUGAGUGACGAACGAGACCCAAUCAUGUGAGACCCCUACCGAAUUUGGCCUUCAUGACCCACAUGCGUCUUUGGAACGCUCAUGACGAGACCUCAGGUCAGGCGGGGCUACCCGCUGAGUUUAAGCAUAUCAAUAAGCGGAGGA